GUUCAAUGUCAAAGCAUAGUCGUAUUCAAACAAGUCAAGUAAGGUUAUGUUCUGAGUUCACAGUGCAAUAGAAGAAGCCACAGAAAGGUGGGCAGGUGGACAGUUAUCAUCUGUCUGGAUCUGGGUCGGAAAACUGCGGCUCGCGAGCCACAUGCGGCUCUUUGGGGGAAGUGCACUUUGGAGGUCAUAAACAUUUUUAUGUGGAAAUUCAAGGCAAAGGAUAAAGAAAUGGACAUACUUGUGUCAAGCCAGGAUGAAGCAUUUACACAGAGUAGACUGAAGAUGGAAAUGGUCAGAGAAGACACUAGAAUUUGAACAACUGCAGUAGUCUGGAUGUAAGGAGCUGAAGGCUCAAACAAGAGAAUGGCUGUCGAAUGAGGAGAAUUGGAUCCUAGAAAUGUGUGAGAAGAAAUAAAUGUCAGGAUUUGAACAUGGAUUUGUAUUUGGAUGAAGAAUGUGAGAAAUUAAGACUUUAAACUUUGCAGAACAGUUCAACAUUGAUGCCAUUAAUAUAAAUGAAGAAUCUGGCCAAAGGGUAAUAAUAAAGGAAUCAGAAACAUUGCACUUCACAGAGGCAAUCCAAUGAAUAGCUAUUGAUGACCAAUCUUAAAAACUGAAAGUUAUGCACAAAAACAGUCACAAAAAGUGGUCUUAUCGUGACCCUUAAAAAAGAGCAAGAGUGGGCCGGCCGAGUGGCGCAAUGGUUAAGAGCUGGCUUGGAACGCCAGAAGGCCCCGGUUCGGAUCCCACA